GAUGAACGCUAGCGGCAGGCUUAACACAUGCAAGUCGAGGGGUAGAAGUUGCUUGCAACUUUGAGACCGGCGCACGGGUGCGUAACGCGUAUGCAAUCUACCUUAUACAGAGGGAUAGCCCAGAGAAAUUUGGAUUAAUACCUCAUAGUAUAAUUGAAUGGCAUCAUUUAAUUAUUAAAGUUCCAACGGUAUAAGAUGAGCAUGCGUCCUAUUAGCUAGAUGGUAAGGUAACGGCUUACCAUGGCAACGGUAGGUAGGGGUCCUGAGAGGGAGAUCCCCCACACUGGUACUGAGACACGGACCAGACUCCUACGGGAGGCAGCAGUGAGGAAUAUUGGGCAAUGGGCGCAAGCCUGAUCCAGCCAUGCCGCGUGCAGGAAGAAGCAUCUAUGGUGUGUAAACUGCUUUUGUACGGGAAGAAACACUCCUUCGUGAAGGAGCUUGACGGUACCGUAAGAAUAAGGAUCGGCUAACUCCGUGCCAGCCGCCGCGGUAAUAC
rnacentral:rRNA from 1 species